rnacentral:rRNA from 1 species
AACGAACGCUGGCGGCAUGCCUAACACAUGCAAGUCGAACGAAACCUUCGGGUCUAGUGGCGCACGGGUGCGUAACGCGUGGGAACCUGCCCUUAGGUUCGGAAUAACUCCCCGAAAGGGGUGCUAAUACCGGAUAAUAUCUUCGGACCAAAGGUUUAUCGCCCUUGGAUGGGCCCGCGUUUGAUUAGCUAGUUUGUAGGGUAAAAGCCUACCAAGGCGACGAUCCAUACCUGGUCUGAGAGGAUGAUCAGACACACUGGGACUGAGACACGGCCCAGACUCUUACGGGAGGCAGCAGUGGGGAAUAUUGCAACAUGGGGGAAAGCAUGAUCCAGCAAUGCCGGGUGAGCGAUGAAGGCAUUAGGGUUGUAAAGCUCUGUUACCCGGGAUGAUAAUGACAGUACCGGGAGAAUAAGCUACGGCUAACUCCGUG